rnacentral:lncRNA from 1 species
GCUCACGAUGUUUUUCUUUUCCUCUCAGUGGUAAUGAGGGAUUAUUGUUCUUAGCCUUCACACUGUAGUCCUUCUAAAGGCUAGACACGAACGGAGAAAAAUAUCGGUGAGAAGAAUAAAGAUGUGUCUAUUUCCCUGCAGCUAAAGAGAGGCAUAUAUAUAUUCCUUGGCAUCCAGAACCACCCACACAAGCAUUUGUGGGGUUUUUUUUCCUUUCUUUUUUUUUUUUAAAAGAAAAGAAUCUUAUUGCAAUCUCUGCAUUAGACUCGGCUACUAAGUUCUGUAAAAGGAAAUCGACCUGUAGCAAAUCUGCUAUUUUAUUGAAGAAUCUUGGUCCUGGUAAUGCUGCCCGGCACCCAGCUCAGAGCCCAGAACACAAAAGGAGUCUGGGAAGGCUCCAGGAGACCAGAAGUCAGAUGCUAACCCCACAGACCUUGACAGCAGCCUCCAUGUGCCGCAAUGUCCAUUCAUCAAGAACUCACUUUGCUAUUAUUUUCUUCUCUUAAUUCCCCACGUGUUAAUGAGAAACACUUCAGGUAGGUGCUCCAUAAACAAGCGAUUACUAAAAAGGCAUUUAAAGGUCUGCUCCAUUACUGUCUCUGAUAU